rnacentral:rRNA from 1 species
AUUGAACGCUGGCGGCAUGCUUUACACAUGCAAGUCGAACGGUAACACGCCUCCUUGUGCUGACGAGUGGCUAACGGAUGGGUAAUUCAUCGGUACGUACCCAGUCUGUGGGGGUGGCUAGCCGGACGAAAGCCUGAUACAUCAUGCAAACUAUGGAUGGAAGAGAGCGGGCGACCUUCCUCCCUCGCGUUGAACGGCCGGUCGAUGGCUGAUUAGGUAGUGGGUGGGGUACAGGCCCACCAAGCCGACGAUCUGUAGCUGGUCUGAGAGGACAACCAGCCACACUGGGACUGAGACACGGCCCAGACUCCUACGGGAGGCAGCAGUGGGGAAUUUUGGACAAUGGGCGCAAGCCUGAUCCAGCAAUGCCGCGUGCAGGAAGAAGGCCUUCGGGUUGUAAACUGCUUUUGUACGGAACGAAACGGCUCUGGCUAAUACCCGGGGCGAAUGACGGUACCGUAAGAAUAAGCACCGGCUAACUACGUG